UCUGGCUACACCAGGGGUUCCCAAACUUUUCCAGGGCAAGGCCCCCAAAUGGCAUUAACAUUUGACCGAGGCCCCCCUUUUGCAAGAUGUCUUUAAAACACAUUAAAAAUACAGACUUCUGAAUAUAUACCCCUUUUUUAUGAAUAAUUACAUCUUACAUCUUUACAUUACAUUACAUUAGGAAUUGAUUAUGUGUGUGUGUGUGUGUGUGUGUGUGUGUGUAUGUGUGUGUGUGGUUGUCUGAGAGUGAGAAAGAGACAACAUACUAGUGGGAGGGAUGGGCACACCAAAUUGUUGAGGCCCCCACUUUGAAAACCACUAGGCUACACUAAGCAUGGAAUGAAAUUCCUACAAAGUUUCUUUAGGGUGAAUUGAGAAUGAGUCUUUCGGACCCUUUCCCUGAUGGCUACGGUUCUGCCAAUUUCACGAUGCGAGUAGAAAAGCAAAUCGUGGAAGGUAACCAGGGAAACCAGAGGGACCUCCAACCUCUAUUCGGAAACUUCCCAGAUGGACAAAGCUCCAUUUCCAGAGAAUCUGAAGAUGAAGGAUGUUACUACCUACCCAGGAGCAGUCCUGUCAUAUCCCGCCGUCAAGCAA